rnacentral:lncRNA from 1 species
GUGAGGCACCUGGGCUCCACGCAGCUCUUUGGGAGUGGAGGUGAGUGGGGCCAGGUGUGUGCCCGCCCCAGCCCUGGCGUGGGAACCACAGCUCCUCUCAGGAACCUGUUCAGCGCUGCCCUUCAUUCUGGACCAUGAAAAUUAGCAGCAAAAACACUCCUGAUGAAAUGAACCAAGACCCAUCACAGCUGUCCUGUUCUUUGGCGAUUUUGAACACCAUGUUCUUUUAUUCAUUUUCUUUGAGAGCAUUGUGUGUUGCUGACUUUUCAAAAGUUCUUCAUUGACAUGCACCCCAACAUGAUGGCUGAUGAAACACACCAGAAUUGGAAAAUCUCUGUUCAAGUCAGUGGGCCAACAUUCAGAGAGCUGCCAUCCAACUGCAGUCCAAUUUUUCAUGCCUUCAUUAGUCAGCUGAAUGGGCCUGGGGAGGAAGAUUUGACCCUUUCACUGCAGGAAGAAUGCUAUAAUUACUAUGAAAGUAAAAAGAACUUGUCCUUUAGGUUACAUAACCCAUAUUCCUGCUGUCUUACGUAACUAUGGAGUAUUAAAUAAUACGUAAUUGAAUGAAAGUUGCAACACUGGGCUCGAAAAUUUGCUGAAAUAAUUAAUAUCACCAGUCAUUAUAUUGAUUUAUACACUCGGUAUUCUAGACAGAGCCAACCACUGUAGGUUAUUAUCCUUGUGAAUCAAUGUAUUCAACUGCUGUGCACAAACAAAGGGAAAAGUCAAAGAAUAUAAUUUGUAACAUUUGCAGCUGAA